rnacentral:rRNA from 1 species
GAUCAUGGCUCAGGAUGAACGCUAGCGACAGGCCUAACACAUGCAAGUCGAGGGGCAGCGGGGAGGUAGCAAUACCUUUGCCGGCGACCGGUCGCACGGGUGAGUAACACGUAUGCAAUCCACCUGUAACAGGGGGAUAACCCGGAGAAAUCCGGACUAAUACCCCAUAAUAUGGGCGCUCCGCAUGGAGAGCCCAUUAAAGAGAGUCAAUUUUGGUUACAGACGAGCAUGCGCUCCA